rnacentral:rRNA from 1 species
GACGAACGCUGGCGGCGUGCUUAACACAUGCAAGUCGAACGGAAAGGCCCUGCUUUUGUGGGGUGCUCGAGUGGCGAACGGGUGAGUAACACGUGAGUAACCUGCCCUUGACUUUGGGAUAACUUCAGGAAACUGGGGCUAAUACCGGAUAGGAGCUCCUGCUGCAUGGUGGGGGUUGGAAAGUUUCGGCGGUUGGGGAUGGACUCGCGGCUUAUCAGCUUGUUGGUGGGGUAGUGGCUUACCAAGGCUUUGACGGGUAGCCGGCCUGAGAGGGUGACCGGCCACAUUGGGACUGAGAUACGGCCCAGACUCAUACGGGAGGCAAGAGUGGGGAAUAUUGCACAAUGGGCGGAAGCCUGAUGCAGCAACGCCGCGUGCGGGAUGACGGCCUUCGGGUUGUAAACCGCUUUCGCCUGUGACGAAGCGUGAGUGACGGUAAUGGGGAAAGAAGCACCGGCUAACUACGU